AUGAAGCUGCUGGUUCCGGCACCUCACGUGGUGCCGGAGAAGAAGGCCAAGAAGAAGGCCACAGGGACUCGAAAGAGUUCCCGACGCCUGGUGGUGUCUGAUUCAUCGCCUGACAACCCCGAAGCGCCCUCCGCCUCUGAAGACGAGGAGGAGGAAGAAGAAGAAGCCUCUCCCCCUCCAGCGGGGGGAGGAAAGAAAAGGAAGGCCGCCCCAACUGGGGAGGCCGGAGGGUCCAAGAAGGGGAGGACCCUUCUGCCAUACUACGCCUCCGAUGCCGAAGACGGCGGGGAGGAAUGGCCAUCCAGGGUCAAGCCCCUGGCAAAAUCGUAA
rnacentral:rRNA from 1 species